AUCCUGGCUUUGCCAUGUCUUCCCACAGCUUUCUUGAACUUCUUGAACAUAUAUAUAAUUAUAUAUGUAAUUCAAGAAUUGUACUUUCAGAAGUUCAAGAAAGCUGUGGAAAAGCAUGACAUGGAUU
rnacentral:pre_miRNA from 1 species